GGUAAGGCCCCCUUCGGGGGUACACGAGCGGCGAACGGGUGAGUAACACGUGAGCAACCUACCCUCAACUUUGGGAUAAGCCUCGGAAACGGGGUCUAAUACCGGAUAUGAUCUCCUGCUUCAUGGUGGGGGGUUGAAAGUUCUGGCGGUUGGGGAUGGGCUCGCGGCCUAUCAGCUUGUUGGUGGGGUAAUGGCCUACCAAGGCGUCGACGGGUAGCCGGCCUGAGAGGGCGACCGGCCACACUGGGACUGAGACACGGCCCAGACUCCUACGGGAGGCAGCAGUGGGGAAUAUUGCGCAAUGGACGAAAGUCUGACGCAGCAACGCCGCGUGAGGGAUGACGGCCUUCGGGUUGUAAACCUCUUUCAGCAGGGACGAAGCGAGAGUGACGGUACCUGCAGAAGAAGGACCGGCCAACUACGUGCCAGCAGCCGCGGUAAUACGUAGGGUCCGAGCGUUGUCCGGAAUUAUUGGGCGUAAAGGGCUCGUAGGCGGUUCGUCACGUCGGGAGUGAAAACUCGGAGCUUAACUCCGAGCCUGCUUCCGAUACGGGCAGACUAGAGGUAGGCAGGGGAGAGCGGAACUCCUGGUGUAGCGGUGGAAUGCGCAGAUAUCAGGAAGAACACCGUUGGCGAAGGCG
rnacentral:rRNA from 1 species